GCCUGUGAAUUUGUUUAGCGCCUUAAAAGAGGAUGACAGAAAUAUGGCAUAAUCUCGAACGUAACUGUUGCAGAAAUUGCACGUGAACAAGGUGUUGGAGGCACCAUGCUGAAGUUUGCAAUAGAAAUGCAAAAGAAGGUAUAAAGCAGGAUACUUACAUGUCCAUCAGGAUAACAUACCAGCACUGGCACUAUGCAGAAAGAUGGGAUCUGAGAUACUUGCAGAGGCGACUCCUCAUCUGGAAGAUCAGAACCUAUACGUGUGCAGCAUAAAUCUGUAGUUACAUUUUACUCAUUUUUGAAAGAGGAAUUUCCUGUUUAGUCCAUAAAACCC